GACGAACGCUGGCGGUGUGCUUAACACAUGCAAGUCGAACGGAAAGGCCCUGCUUUUGUGGGGUGCUCGAGUGGCGAACGGGUGAGUAACACGUGAGUAACCUGCCCUUGACUUUGGGAUAACUUCAGGAAACUGGGGCUAAUACCGGAUAGGAGCUCCUGCUGCAUGGUGGGGGUUGGAAAGUUUCGGCGGUUGGGGAUGGACUCGCGGCUUAUCAGCUUGUUGGCGGGGUAGUGGCUUACCAAGGCUUUGACGGGUAGCCGGCCUGAGAGGGUGACCGGCCACAUUGGGACUGAGAUACGGCCCAGACUCCUACGGGAGGCAGCAGUGGGGAAUAUUGCACAAUGGGCGGAAGCCUGAUGCAGCAACGCCGCGUGCGGGAUGACGGCCUUCGGGUGGUAAACCGCUUUCGCCUGUGACGAAGCGUGAGUGACGGUAAUGGGUAAAGAAGCACCGGCUAACUACGU
rnacentral:rRNA from 1 species